rnacentral:rRNA from 1 species
CCUACGGGUGGCAGCAGUGAGGAAUCUUGGUCAAUGGACGAGAGUCUGAACCAGCCAAGCAGCGUGAAGGAUGACUGCCCUAUGGGUUGUAAACUUCUUUUAUAUGGGAAUAAAAUGUUCCACGUGUGGGAUUUUGUAUGUACCUUAUUAAUCAGCAUCGGCUAACUCCGUGCCAGCAGCCGCGGUAAUACGGAGGAUGCGAGCGUUAUCCGGAUUUUUUGGGUUUAAAGGGAGCGUAGAUGGAUUGUUAAGUCAGUUGUGAAAGGAGGGGGCGCAACCCUAAAAUUGCAGUUGAAACUGGCAGUCUAGAGUACAGUAGAGGUGGGCGGAAUGCGUGGUGUAGCGGUGAAAUGCUUAGAUAUCACGAAGAACUCCGAUUGCGAAGGCAGCUCACUGGACUGCAACUGACGCUGAGGCUCGAAAGUGUGGGGAUCAAACAGGAUUAGAUACCCCUGUAGUC